GUUAGCUCAGGGCCUUCCCUCCCCCUCACUCUCACUGUGCUAUCUGAAACGGGGUCAGACUGCUGGCGGAAUCCAGGCCAUUUCUGCCUUUGUCUUUGUAACAGUGUGCUGUCUGAGUCUGCCCGCUAGAGGAAGAGAGAGAGCCGUGAUUCAGAGCCCCAGCCCUCCACUUUAACACAGAAACACAGAGACAAAGGAGCUGUUUACUGCUUUAACUCACAAAGAGAAACGGGGGAAUUACUUCUCUGCAUGGUGUGAUGUUCAGGGUGAGAAAGGUCCGCCAUAAUCUUGCCAGCACACUUUGUCAACUUGCUGUAUCAUAUAUCCUGAAGCGUUGGCUGAGCACACCCGAUGAUCCCCUCUGCUGUCCUGAUUAUGUGCUGGCGUUUGGCUCGUUCUUUUGAGUCAGACGAUCCAAAGCAGAUGGUUAUAGAUGACGUGAGGAUGCCACAGCUAUGCUGUAGAGACAGGGUUCCCAACCCCCUUCAGAAUUUCCAGCUUUGCGGACAUAAAAAUCUGCUGAGCUGUGUCAGCUUACCUGCCCAGACCCUGCUUCACAUCUUCACAAUAAACCAGAGCUGUGAAGUGACCACCCUGAGUCCGGUAACAAUCAGUAUGAAGAAGCAUCAGUCUGCUGAUCCUACCUCCUCCACAUCCCCACUCCAGCCAGAGGAGAGGAGUGGAGAGCAGAACCUGACCGAGAGGCAUGAUGCUCCCUUAAGAAGACAAGACAUCACUCCUUAUUACAUGCUGUGGAGCGCGCGGAAAGGGAAUAA
rnacentral:lncRNA from 1 species